AGAGUUUGAUCAUGGCUCAGAAUCAACGCUGGCGGCGCGCCUAACACAUGCAAGUCGAACGAGAAAGCGGGGGCAACCUCGUGAGUAAAGUGGCGUACGGGUGAGUAACACGUGGGUAAUCUACCCUUGGGUGGGGAAUAACCCUGGGAAACCGGGGAUAAUACCGCAUAAUCCCGAGAGGGCAAAGGAGCAAUUCGCCUAAGGAGGAGCCCGCGGCCGAUUAGCUAGUUGGUGGGGUAAAAGCCCACCAAGGCAAAGAUCGGUAGCCGGCCUGAGAGGGCACACGGCCACACUGGCACUGAAACACGGGCCAGACUCCUACGGGAGGCAGCAGUGGGGAAUCUUGCACAAUGGGGGAAACCCUGAUGCAGCGACGCCGCGUGAGCGAUGAAGCCCUUCGGGGUGUAAAGCUCUUUCGGCAGGGACGAAACAUGACGGUACCUGCAGAAGCAGCUGCGGCUAACUACGUGCCAGCAGCCGCGGUAAUACGUAGGCAGCGAGCGUUGUUCGGAGUUACUGGGCGUAAAGGGUGCGUAGGCGGUCCCUUAAGUUCGGUGUGAAAUCUCCCGGCUCAACUGGGAGGGUGCGCCGGAAACUGAGGGACUAGAGUGCGGGAGGGGAGAGCGGAAUUCCUGGUGUAGCGGUGAAAUGCGUAGAUAUCAGGAGGAACACCGGUGGUGCAGACGGCUCUCUGGACCGUAACUGACGCUGAGGCACGAAAGCG
rnacentral:rRNA from 1 species